UACGUAGGUGGCAAGCGUUAUCCGGAAUUACUGGGCGUAAAGCGCACGCAGGCGGUCUUUUAAGUUUGACGUGAAAGCUCCCGGCUUAACUGGGAGAGGUCGUUGAAGACUGGAAGACUUGAGGCAAUGAGAGGGGUGUAGAAUUCCCGGUGUAGUGGUGGAAUGCGUAGAUAUCGGGGGGAAUACCAGUGGCGAAAGCGGCACCCUAGCAUUAGCCUGACGCUCAUGUGCGAAAGCGUGGGGAGCGAACGGG
rnacentral:rRNA from 1 species